rnacentral:lncRNA from 1 species
AAUCAUGGACGGACUGAUGUGGCCUGAAUGCUUCGUCAAGAUCGCAGACAAAAUUAUGACUGUCUUCUUCCGGUUUGGGGAAGGCGUCGCCAGAAGCACCAAAGAGCCGCAGAAACUGUUCAAGCUCUUGGACAUGUUCGACUCCAUGGAAAAACUCGACUCCGAAUUCUCUGAGGCAUUUAGCGGCGAAGCCGGCGCCGAAAUCCGUACACGAUACAGAGAGCUCGAGAAGCUACUCGUGCACGCAUCCAGCAAAGUUUUUUGGGAUUUCGGCCUUCAAAUCGAGGGAAAUUCAGACGGAUUUCCACCUCCAAAAGACGGAUCGGUUCCUAAACUAGUCCGUUACGCCGUCAACUACCUCAAGUACCUUGCAAGCGACAACUACAGUUCCGCCAUGGCUAAAGUUCUCCAAAUACAAAAGUCGUGGAAGGGCGGAUUCCUCUCAAAAUUGGAAGCGGAGGAGAAUUUGCUUAAAGACGCCUUCUCCAACGUAAUGGAAGCCCUACAAAGAAACGUGGAAUCCAAAAAAUCGCGCUAUAGAGACAAAAUCCUACCGCAUAUCUUCUCAAUGAACACAUACUGGUACAUCUACAUGCGGAUCCGAAACACAGAACUAGGAAGAUUGCUAGGUGAACAGUAUAUGCGAAAAAAUUACAAAGCAGUAGCAGAAGAAUCGGCUUACACUUAUCAAAUGCUAUGUUGGGAGCCUCUGCUUUCGGUAAUGGACAUGGACGACAUGCGAUUACAGAACAUGGAAACGGUGGAAGAUUUAGCGAAAACAAAAAUGGAAUCAUUCGUGAAGGCACUAAGAGAAUUCUCACAGAAACAUAGAGCGACGUACUCCAUCCCAGAUUUGGAUUUGCGGGAGCAGUUGAAAGAGGCAACUCUGAAGAUGAUACUCCCGGCUUAUACAGAGUUUUUCAAUUUGCAUUCGGCUUUGUUGCCGGGAAUUGGGAAGUAUUACGUGGGCCUAGAGACGAUCCAUGACUUUGUGGGCCGGGCCUUUGAGUUCGAAGGUGGGAGUGGGCCUGGGU